AGAUUGAACGCUGGCGGCAUGCUUUACACAUGCAAGUCGAACGGUAACAGGCCGCAAGGUGCUGACGAGUGGCGAACGGGUGAGUAAUGCAUCGGAACGUGCCCAGUCGUGGGGGAUAACGCAGCGAAAGCUGUGCUAAUACCGCAUACGAUCUAUGGAUGAAAGCGGGGGACCGAAAGGCCUCGCGCGAUUGGAGCGGCCGAUGUCAGAUUAGCUAGUUGGUGGGUAAGGGCCCACCAAGGCGACGAUCUGUAGCUGGUCUGAGAGGACGACCAGCCACACUGGAACUGAGACACGGUCCAGACUCCGUACGGGAGCAGCGAGUGGGGAAUUUGGACAAGUGGGACGCAAGCCUGACUCCAGCAAGU
rnacentral:rRNA from 1 species